rnacentral:misc_RNA from 1 species
GAUCAUUAACGAUCUUAUGACAUUAUUUCGAAAACGAUACUAUAUUGAAGACGGCUCUUGGCGCAAUGCCUCGAGUUUUUCUGGCCGUAGAAUGGCGUUUUCCUAACGCGUCUCUAUUGUGCCUGUAUACAAGUUGUAACUAACGGCUUGGUUUGGCUUCUGUGGAAGGUUGAGCAGUUGUGUUUCACGUCCGUGGCUGCGCAUGAUACUGACCGAUAGCCUGACGCUUCGUGCUGUCGGGUGAGAAUCAAUGACCCCGAGAGGGCGCCAAACAAACACCUAUUAUUUCGUUUAUUUGAAUUUAUGUAACUAUUAAGUUACGUCGGUGGAUCACUCGGUUCGCGGGUCGAUGAAAAACGCAGUGAAUUGCGAUAAGAAGUACGAAUUACAGAUAUUACGAGUACCAUGUUUUUGAAUGCAUAUUGCGCCGUUGGGUUUUGCUCUUCGGCAUAUGUGAUUCAGGGUGUGUUUCACACGACACAGAGUUCUAUGCUUAUCUUCCGUUGGUGAAGUUUUUAUAGUGAACUACUGUUUCAUAGACUGAUGGCAGUUGCGGCGGCUUCGUGCUGCUGUGCUGUUGUCUUUUUUGUGGUCAAAAUGGUCGGCAACGGCUAUUCGGACACUUGUGUGAAUUGGUUGAUGUGUAUGUGCGAAAACAUUGGUUUCGGCUUUUGUUUUUGCGCUAAACAAUUGAGAUACCGUCGUUUUGAGCGGUCGAAUGUCCUCAUGCUUAUGAUAUGUUGUAUAACAUUUUUUGCGUGUUGGUGUCGGCGCGAUAUUCGCUCUUAAUGUGCGGGGGUUUUGCUUUUGGGCAUUGCUGCUCGGUUGGCACGUUGGCUUUGGUUAUAAACCACCUGAGUUACGUAUGAUUACCUGCUGAACUUAAGCAUAUCAGUAAGCA